rnacentral:pre_miRNA from 1 species
UUUAAUUUUUGACUCUUCGUCUUAUUCAAAUUUUUUUGCGAUUGAUAUUUUUGUUUUUAUUAGAUGAUAAAUCAUGAAUAGUAUUUUACGUGUGACUAAUUUUUUUCUAAUUUCUUAAAAAUUUUUCAAAUAAGACAGAUACUCAAACGUUGGACACGGAAACC